rnacentral:sRNA from 1 species
UGCCGACCGGGUGCCUGCACUAAGUUUGGCAUCAAUAUGGCGACCUCCUGGGAGCGGGGGGCCACCAAGUUGCCUAAGGAUGGCUGAACUGGCCCAGGUCAGAAACGGAGCAGGUCAGAACUCCUGCACCGACCAGUAGUGGGACUGUGCCUGGGCG